AACGAACGCUGGCGGCGUGCUUAACACAUGCAAGUCGAACGCGAAAGUCCUUCGGGAUGAGUAAAGUGGCGCACGGGUGAGUAACGCGUGGGUAAUCUGCCCAAUGAUCUGGGAUAACAUUCCGAAAGGGGUGCUAAUACCGGAUAAGACCACGAAGUCUUCGGACUUUGCGGUAAAAGGUGGGGACCUUCGGGCCUACCAUCAUUGGAUGAGUCCGCGUACCAUUAGCUAGUUGGUAGGGUAAAGGCCUACCAAGGCGACGAUGGUUAGCUGGGCUGAGAGGAUGAUCAGCCACACUGGAACUGAGACACGGUCCAGACUCCUACGGGAGGCAGCAGUGGGGAAUUUUGCGCAAUGGGGGAAACCCUGACGUAGCAACGCCGCGUGAGUGAUGAAGGCCUUCGGGUCGUAAAGCUCUGUCGGAGGGGAAGAAAUGCAACGGUGCUAAUAUCAUCUUUGCUUGACGGUACCCUCAAAGGAACCACCGGCUAACUCCGUGCCAGCAGCCGCCGUAA
rnacentral:rRNA from 1 species